CCCCAAAGUGUGGGAUAACAGUCCGAAAGGAUUGCUAAUACCGCAUGUGGUCUUCGGAUUUAGAAACUGAUGACUAAAGGAGCAAUUCGCGUUUGGGAGGGACCUGCGUCCCAUCAGCUUAGUUGGUGAGGUAAUGGCUCACCAAGGCUACGACGGGUAGGGACCUGAGGAGGGUGACCCCCCACAAUGGAACUGAAACACGGUCCAUACACCUACGGGUGGCAGCAGUAGGGAAUAUUGCACAAUGGGCGAAAGCCUGAUGCAGCAACGCCGCGUGUGCGAUGAAGGCCUUCGGGUCGUAAAGCACUUUCUGGGAGAUGAGCAAGGACAGUAUCUCAGGAAUAAGUCUCGGCUAACUACGUG
rnacentral:rRNA from 1 species